AUGCAUCUCGUCGACUUCGUCUCCGCGGUGGCAGCGCUCGGGCCGGCGUUCGUGGACGCGCUCGCAUCGACAUCGGCUCGUCACCCUCGGCAUCGGCGGCUUCGCCUCGUACAUCUAGCGUCCAUCCCGUCGCUGGAGGAGGAACUGAGUCGGGUGACCUCCAAGCUCGCCGCGGCGCAGGCAAGAGCGAGGGACAGCGAAGAGGAGAAGAAGAAGACGACGGCCGAACAGCUAGACAAGGCACGGCGAGAGACGGAGCGAGCCAAGGCGAGCGCACGAUCGAUGCAGGAGGAAGUCGCCGCGGGCAGGGAAGACACGCGCGUGGCUAGGGUGGCGGUCCAGGCCAGGGAGGCGCGGCUGAAGGCCAUGUCGCGGGAGGUGCUCGCCGCGAAGGCGUCGGCGGUGACCGCCGCGGCCGGUGCAGGAGCAGCACCACCGCGUCGCCCAUGGACUCGCCCAGCAGGAACCGAGGCAACGGCGUGGCUGGAAGGUCGCAAGCACACCGUCAUGGCCAGCAACAACUCCUCGCCGAUGUCCUAG
rnacentral:rRNA from 1 species